rnacentral:rRNA from 1 species
UUGCACGCUGGCGGCAGGCCUAACACAUGCCAGUCGAGCGGAUGAAGGGAGCUUGCUCCUGGAUUCAGCGGCGGACGGGUGAGUAAUGCCUAGGAAUCUGCCUGGUAGUGGGGGAUAACGUCCGGAAACGGGCGCUAAUACCGCAUACGUCCUGAGGGAGAAAGUGGGGGAUCUUCGGACCUCACGCUAUCAGAUGAGCCUAGGUCGGAUUAGCUAGUUGGUGGGGUAAAGGCCUACCAAGGCGACGAUCCGUAACUGGUCUGAGAGGAUGAUCAGUCACACUGGAACUGAGACACGGUCCAGACUCCUACGGGAGGCAGCAGUGGGGAAUAUUGGACAAUGGGCGAAAGCCUGAUCCAGCCAUGCCGCGUGUGUGAAGAAGGUCUUCGGAUUGUAAAGCACUUUAAGUUGGGAGGAAGGGCAGUAAGUUAAUACCUGGCUGUUUUGACGUUACCAACAGAAUAAGCACCGGCUAACUUCGG